rnacentral:rRNA from 1 species
GACAGAGGGUGCAAACGUUGUUCGGAAUUACUGGGCGUAAAGCGCGUGUAGGCUGCUUCGAAAGUCGGAUGUGAAAGCCCUGGGCUCAACCUAGGAAGUGCAUUCGAAACUUCGAAGCUGGAGUCCUGGAGAGGAAGGCGGAAUUCUCGGUGUAGAGGUGAAAUUCGUAGAUAUCGAGAGGAACACCGGUAGCGAAGGCGGCCACCUGGACGGAUACUGACGCUGAGACGCGAAAGCGUGGGUAGCAAACAGG